rnacentral:rRNA from 1 species
GACGAACGCUGGCGGCGUGCUUAACACAUGCAAGUCGAGCGAGGGUGUCUCUGUCCUUUUGGGUGGGGUGUUCGAGCGGCGAACGGGUGAGUAACACGUGAGUAAUCUGCCCUUCACUUGGGGAUAACUUCCGGAAACGGUGGCUAAUACCCGAUAUGACCAUGCGCUGCCUGGUGUGUGGUGGAAAGAGUUUUUGGUGGGGGAUGUGCUCGCGGCCUAUCAGCUUGUUGGUGGGGAAUGGCCUACCAAGGCUUCGACGGGUAGCCGGCCGUGAGAGGGUGGACGGCCACACUGGGACUGAGACACGGCCCAGAC